AGAGUUUGAUCCUGGCUCAGAGCGAACGCUGGCGGCACGCCUAACACAUGCAAGUCGAGCGAGAAAGUGACUUCGGUCGCGAGUAAAGCGGCGAACGGGUGAGUACAACGUGGAUAAUCUACCCUAAGGUCUGGGACAACCCCGAGAAAUCGGGGCUAAUACCGGAUAAGACCACAGUAUCCAAGGAUACAGCGGUAAAAGAUUUAUCGCCUUUGGAUGAGUCCACGCCCCAUCAGGUAGUUGGUAAGGUAAAGGCUUACCAAGCCUAAGACGGGUAGCCGGCCUUAGCGGGUGAACGGCCACAUGGGGACUGAGACACGGCCCUGACUCCUACGGGAGGCAGCAGUGGGGAAUAUUGGGCAAUGGGCGAAAGCCUGACCCAGCGAUGCCGCGUGAGGGAUGAAGGCCUUCGGGUUGUAAACCUCUGUCAGGAGGGACGAUGGGACUUUGUCUUGACGGUACCUCCAGAGGAAGCCCCGGCUAACUCCGUGCCAGCAGCCGCGGUAAUACGGAGGGGGCAAGCGUUGCUCGGAAUUACUGGGCGUAAAGGGUCCGCAGGCUGUCAGGCCAAGGUUGGUUUGUGAAAUCCCAGGGCUUAACCUUGGAAUUGCAUCCAAAACUGCCUGACUAGAGUCCAAGAGAAGGUUGGCGGAAAUUCCCGGG
rnacentral:rRNA from 1 species